GAUCAUGGCUCAGGACGAACGCUGGCGGCGUGCUUAACACAUGCAAGUCGAACGAUGAUGCGGUGCGUGCACCGUUGAUUAGUGGCGAACGGGUGAGUAACACGUGAGUAACCUGCCCUCUUCUUUGGGAUAACGGUCUGAAAGGGCUGCUAAUACUGAAUAUUCACAUGUCUUCGCAUGGGGGUGUGUGGAAAGAGAUGCUUUUGGGUGUUUUUGGUGGGGGAUGGGCUCGCGGCCUA
rnacentral:rRNA from 1 species